rnacentral:rRNA from 1 species
GACGAACGCUGGCGGCGUGCUUAACACAUGCAAGUCGAACGGAAAGGCCUCUUUCGGGGGGUACUCGAGUGGCGAACGGGUGAGUAACACGUGAGUAACCUGCCCUUGACUUUGGGAUAACUUCAGUAAACUGGGGCUAAUACCGGAUAGGAGCUCCUGCUGCAUGGUGGGGGUUGGAAAGUUUCGGCGGUUGGGGAUGGACUCGCGGCUUAUCCGCUUGUUGGUGGGGUAGUGGCUUACCAAGGCUUUGACGGGUAGCCGGCCUGAGAGGGUGACCGGCCACAUUGGGACUGAGAUACGGCCCAGACACCUACGGGAGGCAGCAGUGGGGAAUAUUGCACAAUGGGUGGAGGCCUGAUGCAGCAACGCCGUGUGCGGGAUGACGGCCUUCGGGUUGUAAACCGCUUUCGCUCAUGACGAAGCUUUGUGUGACGGUAGUGGGUAAAGAAGCACCGGCUAACUACGUG